rnacentral:rRNA from 1 species
AGUGCCGAGUUAAAGGAAGCAUGUUGGUCUUCUUUUACUUCUAAAUCCGCCUUCUAACUAGGUUUCAUAGUAGUUUUUCGUGUAGUCUAAGGUAGACAGUGUAGCCCAUCUCUUUCCACUUCAUGUGCUGCACCUUGACCUGACGUAUUGGCGCAAGGGCAUUAAGCUCACUAGUUAGCGCUCACGGGGUAAGCUGACGACGGAGGUAUACAGGCUGAUAGACUAAAAGUGGUGAGGUAAAACGGGGGUUAUCGAUUAUAGGACAGGCUCCUCUAGGUGGAUUUGGGGUACCGUCAAGUCCCUUGGGUUUUAAGCU